rnacentral:rRNA from 2 species
CCUGGUGGUUAUACCGAGGGGGUCACACCCGUUCCCAUUCCGAAUACGGAAGUUAAGCCCCUCAGGGCCGAUGGUACUUAGCUGGCAACGGCUCGGGAGAGUAGGACGCUGCCGGGA